AGAAACCCCGCGAAGCAUACACAAUAGGGUUACCAGAAAUGUAAGGAUCAGUUAUAGUGAAACAAUCAGGCAAUUCAUCAAGAGAUUCUUGAAAACCUGCUGAGUAACAAUCAAAUGAAUGUUCAAUCAUACUACCCCUUUGUGACUCCAUAAGUACUUUGUUACGCGUUCAACAAAACUCAGUAACUUCAACCAAAACUCAAUAUAUAUGAGUUAAAAAAUAAUUUAUCCAGGCUACUCAGACUAAUCAAUAACUCAUAACUCAAAAU
rnacentral:misc_RNA from 1 species